UUAAUAAAAGUAUUCCGAGCUUACAAGUCUAAGGGUAACUAUGACUUCAAAGCCGAUGGGUAUAUAAAGAAAUUUAUGUGCCUCCCACGUUUGGAAAGGAUUAUAGACUUUUUACUC
rnacentral:ncRNA from 2 species